rnacentral:lncRNA from 1 species
AGGGGUCCCGGCCUUGAAAAGAAGCGUCCCGGAGCUGCACCUUGGGCUCCUGGGUAACGAAGCGCCCGCCUGGAUUUAUAGGGGUGAGCUUCCCUCAUGGAGAGCCUUGUGAGGAUUAGCCACCUCCUCUUAUAUUGCUGUUAGUUAAAAAUAAAGUCGGGUUGCAACCCACUAUAAAUCUUAUUCUACAUGUUACGAAUUCAAGACACAGAGGGCUGCUAUCCAGUGUGCUAGCCAUAGACACCAAAUGUCUUGGUUCCCAAUCUUUUGCAUUAGAGAUAUGUGCGACAUAUUUAGGGGUUAAAUGGUAUGAUGUCUGGAAUUUGCUUGAGAAUAGUGGGGAGCGGGAGGUGAAAAAUAAAGCAAGUUGGCCGUUAAGUAAGGCCAUAGAAGCUGCAUGGUCGUUCUUAUUUACUAUUCUCGGUACUUUUGUACAUAUUAGAUAUUUUCCAUAAUAAAGCUGAAAAAAAAACCCACUUCCUUCUUCAUGUUUGUUUGGUUAUCUCUGGAAAUUCCAACAAGUAUUUAUUCAGUAACAGCUCUAAUGUGCACAGCACUAUUUCCUGGUGUGGACUUCCUCUUGAUUUUUUACGUCACUGCCUUCUUUUCUGGAGUGUCACGUCCUGUACCCACCCCCUUCCUUUUGCCCAUUUUCUUUGCUAUAAUAAACUUGUGAAUAAUUUCUAGAACAUUCACAGCAGCACAGGGAUUUUAAAAAUUUAUCCCUCAUUAGUUUAAAAACUCAGAAAUAUUCCAUUGCAACCCCUAUGAAUCAUAUUUCGCAAAUCACAGAAUUCAAGACACAGAGGACUGCUGCCCAGUGAGCUAGAAAUAGAUACCAAAUGCCUUGGUUCCCACUCCUUUGCCUUAUAUUUUAUGUUAGUUUGCCUCUCCUAAAUUAGCUUCAGUAUUUCCCUUUAAAAGGAAAAGACAGUCUGGCCCUUAAUGUAAAUGUAUUUUGUUAUAAAGUUACCUAAAUACUUAUACACCUGGCCGGGCGCGUGGCUCACGCCUGUAAUCCCAGCACUUUGGGAGGCUGAGGUGGGCAGAUCACGAGGUCAGGAGAUCGAGACCAUCCUGGCUAAUACGGUGAAACCCCGUCUCUACUGAAAAUACAAGACAUUAGCCGGGCAUGGUGGCAGGCGCCUGUAG